UCCAUUGAAGGAGGAAGGCACCUGCCCACAGAAGUGGGGGGAGACCUGGACUUGCACCCCUGCCCUGGCUGCUGUGGUGGGCUACAUCACACUCGUGGGCUGCCCUCUCCUCUCCUCUCCUCUCCUCACCUCCCUGCCUGGGCAGGGCCCCUCUUCUCUGCUGCUCCCUAAAACCUGCAGCAACAACCAGCGCAGCCCAUGUGCACCCCGGGCCCUGAGCCUGGCUGGGGGCUACAGGAGGGGCUCCCAGGGCAGGCGGCUGCCCCGCGCUCACCCGCUCCACUGUGUCCCGGGGUAGACAGUGAUGUACCGGGGCAUGGCCACCCUCUGCACAUUCACCGCCCCCGAAACAGCUGCCGGGUGCAAGGGCCCCUAGCUGAAGUCCAGCCCAACCAAGAGUUUGCCGUCUCCGGACUCCGCACCCUCCUGCCUCGGGGCCUCCCCAAGGGGCAGGGGUUUCGGUUGAAGCGCAGGGAGGGCGGCACGGAGCCGGCUUCGUCCCGGGUCGGCAUCUCCGCGCUCCCAGCCCCGCUCCAGCCCCAGGCGGCAGCGCGGAGCCGGCUUGGGUGCCCGCCCGCGUGUUCCCGCCGCAAUGCGCCCACGCGGCCACAGGAGGGCAGCCCCGAGCAGCCGGUUUGUCUCCCCUCCGCGGCGCCGCUCCAAGUGGCUGCAGUGCUGGGAGCGCACCACAGGAGGGCAGCACUGAGCCGGGUUCCCUCCAUGCUGGGUGCGGAUGCCCCGUGACACGUGUGAUACCCGCACUAACGACACACACUCGUGUGCGGAGCUGUGCAAGGGUGAGAGAUGAACACCUACAUCACUAUCGCCAUGGACAGAGACAGAGAGAUCAUUGUGUUAAUGAUGGUGUUUAUUACACACCCACACACCCACACACCCACACACACAAAUGCAUAUCAGUAUCCACACACAGCCGUACUGGAUACAUCUCUGUACCAUGUAAGAUUUCCAAAGUACGCACGCACUGAAUAACAACGUCCCUUCAGCUCCCUGUUCUCAGUUUUAAAGUAUUUUUGUGUAUCUGACAUGCUACAUUAAUCAGAAGUCAAAUCAAACACAUUUUUGUUUCAAUGGUUAAAAAAAUAUUCAUUCCCUCCUUCCAUCCAAAUGCCCUGGAAGUGCACUACGUGUUUUCCCCAAUAUUUAAAAUAAGAAAUACAUUUGAAAAGGUAUUUUUUUUUAGAAAUAAAAAUAUAUUAAAACCAAUUAUAUAAUAGUGCUGAGAAUACGAGUUUGGCUCCCCCCAAACUGAGAAGCCCCUCAGGGAUGACAUGGGUAGAUCUGGCUGAAAGCCUGCGGACAUUACAUUAAGCAGGCAAGGGGGGCAGGACCACACCCGGGCUUACAGGACUCACAAAAACCUGGAGACAACUGGGGAUCCACACAGUCCUUCUCCUUGCAACAAUGCAAUGCAGCUUUCCCAUCGCAGGGACCCAGCCCUUAGAGAAAAAGCCCGCAACCUAUUAGAAAUAGCAAGACUUGUACUAAAGGCAGCCAGAGAAGAUCUGAAACACCUGAACUAAAAAAAACCCACCAAGAAACUCAUAAAUCUCCAGAGCAUUUUAUUUUUAUUGGGACCAUUUUUUCUUUUGAGACGAGGGACAGCUGAACUUCAACAGAUUAUACCAAAGCACCACAACUUCACUGGGCCUUUUUUUUCAGUUCCUCAAAGAAAUCAGGACUGAUGUCCUGUAGUGCAUUAACCAUUGGAAACUAGGAACCAUGUGUUGCACACUCCUUUACCACUGGUCCAUCAGAAGGGGAAAUAUUUGCAUUGCACAAGUAAGAACACAGAUUGGAUCGGCACACUGAAUGAAAAAGUUCAUCCUUCAGCCAGCUCGCAACAGGAAAGGCCCGCGGGCAAAUCUUCUCAGCGUAGAAAAGCACCAGCCAUGAGGUGAAGUUUCUUAGACUGUUUAUUAUUAGACUGUGCGCAUCUUAGGCCCGCUUGCUCCUACCGUUUUCACACUGAGCACACCAACUCCCUUUAGGAUCCUUUGCACACAGGAUGAGUCCUUCAUCCUCACAGGUCAUGGAGCUGGAGAUUAAAUGCUUUCAAACACCCACGGAGCCUUAACUACCAGACACAAACAAACUGCACCACAAACAGCCUGAAAUCGGCCCCGCAACCUGCAGCCUAAGCAAGCUACAGCCACGCCACAAACAGAAACGAGCACAAACCUGCACUUCUACGCUGACACUGAGAACCGCUCAACAACCCAACCAAGGAAAUCCUACACACUGCCUUCAACUGCAUCUGUUCUGAUCCACUGCUUAACUAACCAAGCCAGACAACCUGCAAAACCCUUCACUGCUGCAUAUCAAUACGCACAACUAGCACAAAGCCUCAACCUCCCUGCACAAAAUUGGGGUCAACCCAAGACUGAGUGCACGGUGCAGCUUGAAGCGUGCGGCUGCUUGCCCCUAGCACUUACCCGUGUAUGACAACAGCAGGACCUAAGACACAAAUCCUGUGUGCGCCUGCCCCAGGGCUCCCACCUUCCACAAGGCGCUCAUCACAAGGUCGACAACUUGGGGAUGCAACUUGCAGAGGACAGACACCGUGUCCAAACUCCCUUACCUUUCCAUCCCUCUGGGCAGGCAGGGGUUUCUUCCCUCCAUAGUGGCCAAUGCCUGCCCAUCUGCCAUCCUGUGUGCUUCUCCUUCUGAGGGUUAAAAAACAGACAGACACUGCAUUUAAGUCACCACGUCAGAGGACCAGACUACAGACCCCAACUUCUCAGCCCUCUUUUACUCUCACCUGGACCCACGAUCACUCUGCCCUCAGAAAGCAGUGAGGGCAGACAUCUGCAGGCUCGACUGCUGCCGACAUCCAGGCCAGCCAAAAGCUGAGUGCGACGGGCUAGGACUCUGGACAGAACUGCUAGGGCGGCACCAUGAACGGUGACCACAAACACUGGAAACCCUGCUGACAGGGUGGUGGUCCCUGCACACAGCUGGCAGCUGGGGCACAAAGCCCAGACACAACCUGCAAAGUCCUGAAUGCCAGCUGACAGGUGCCCCAGGCGGUCUUGAUCAGGGGUCAAAGCUGCCCCGUGGACAGAAGGGCCAGACAGGACAGAAGGCCCAUAAUUUCAGUCUCCUGCCACGGAAGCCACAGAGCUCAAAGGGCUAAAGGAGGUCUCGUCCCCCAAGGUCAGAGGGGUGGGGGUGCAGCCCUGUUUACAGGGUGCAGGGGGCAUCUCAUAGUGCCAGGAGCAGCAGAACAGAGGAGCAGAGACCCCGACCUGAGUUACAGGAAGGUCACUAAGGCUCGGGGUCCCAACGCACUCAGUGUCCCCCAGAAGCCUGCAACCUCCCAUGUAGUCUGUGGGUAUGGUCUCUGGCCAACCUCAACAAGUGGAACGAGACCCAACCCAACCCGAAUCAAGGGGCCCUGGACCCUGCUUACAGGCUACAGGCCGGGGGCGGGGGCGCAGAAGAACGGCUGGCCUAGGGCAGGGCACUCGUCUCCAGGGCCUCGGGCAGGGAAUACAAUGCCUGCCCCGGGAAGGAGGGCAGGAACCCCGCGUGCGAGGGACCGAGCGGCCGAAAAGACAUGCCAGCGUCCCAAAAAGAGGGGGUCUCCCCGCCGCAAUGCCCGGCGCGGCCACAGGAGGGCGGCUCUGAGCAGGGCUUUGUCUUCAACUUCACCUGCUGCGGCAAUGCCGCGACGCGGCCACAGGAGGGCAGCACCGAGCAGCCGGUUCGCCUCCCCUUCCGUGGCGCCACUCGUCGUGGCCGCAGUGCUGGGAGCGCACCACACGAGGGCAGCACUGAGCCGGAGUUCGUGCGGGGAGUGGCGGCGCAGUGCGCAAGUGGAGCCGGCGGGGACUUGCCGCGGGGAGGAGCGGCCCCGGCCCCGGCCCCGGCCCCGCACACGGGCGCGUCCUUCCCUCGCGGCGGCGGCGGCGGCAACAGGAGCGGCCGGGUUGUAUCUCUGUGUCUGUAUGUAGAACCUCAUUUGGAGACAACAACAAAAGUCUAAAUUUGAGGCCCUCCGUGGCUGAGAGGCCCUGGCCAAAUGGUCCUCCUGGCCCCCCAUGUGAUAGGCCCUGGUGGUGAUGUUGGGUGCCUAAGCGCGGGACGUGGAAGAGCCCCGAUUUUCAGAAAAUGUGGAAAACCCUGCACCCGUGAGACGACUGUCACAGCUCUUCAUGGUGCUUAAUGGCAGGCACUCAAACCCACCAGCCCGCGGGGAAAGCUCUGCCCCUGCCCCCGGUGCGAAGAUGAAGAUGAAGAUGUGAACUUCCCGGUGAGAGCACAAGCGACGGGCAGGGGAGCGCAGGGAGCAGAGCGGCGUGUGACCCACAGCUCCUCGGGGCUGCAGGGAACGGGGACGCAGCAAGAGCACCUGUCCCUGCCGGGGCUGCAGCCAGCACUGGGCCGAGCCCCUUGGAGCUGUGUGCGCGGGCACGAGGACGAGAGGCGUCCGCGAUGGGGCUUGGGCUCAAGAAGGCUCAACAGCUAACCUGAUGUGAACCAGCCAAAGGCAAGAGGGGACAUGUAUCUUAUAUGUUACAUUAAUCAGAAGGCUCUACUUAAUCAAAUGCAUUUUUGUUUCUAUGGUUAAAAAAUAUUCAUUUCCUCCUUCCA